GUGCCGGUGGUGUAAGGCGUAGCAUCGCUGCCCGGAAAGCAGAAGAUGCUGGUUCGAGUCCCGCCUGGCGCA
rnacentral:tRNA from 1 species